rnacentral:rRNA from 1 species
CCUACGGGUGACAGCAGUGAGGAAUAUUGGUCAAUGGACGAGAGUCUGAUCCAGCCAAGUAGCGUGAAGGAUGACUGCCCUAUGGGUUGUAAACUUCUUUUAUAAAGGAAUAAAACGAGGCACGUGUGCCUUUUUGCAUGUACUUUAUGAAUAAGGAUCGGCUAACUCCGUGCCUGCAGCCGCGGUAAUACGGAGGGUCCGAGCGUUAUCCGGAUUUAUUGGGUUUAAAGGGCGCGUAGAUUGGUUGGUAAGUCCGUUGUGAAAGUUUGCGGCUCAACCGUAGAAUUGCAAUUGAUACUGGCAGACUUGAGUACAGGUGAGGUAGGCGGAAUUCGUGGUGUAGCAGUGAAAUGCUUAGAUAUCACGAAGAACCCUGAUGGCGAAGGCAGGUUACUAAACUGUGACUGACAUUGAGGCACGAAAGUGUGGGUAUCAAACAGGAUUAGAUACCCGAGUAGUC